rnacentral:rRNA from 1 species
GAGUUUGAUCAUGGCUCAGGACGAACGCUGGCGGCGUGCCUAACACAUGCAAGUCGAACGGACCGGAAUAAAAAGCUUGCUUUAGAUUCCGGUUAGUGGCGGACGGGUGAGUAACACGUGGAUAAUCUACCUGACACAAUGGGACAACACGGUGAAAACGGUGCUAAUACCAUAUACGCUGUUGGAGACGAAGGUAACUGACAGGAAAGGGGAAACCUGGUGACAGAUGAGUCCGCGGCUGAUUAGCUAGUUGGUGGGGUAAAGGCUUACCAAGGCGACGAUCAGUAGCCGGCCUGAGAGGGUGAACGGCCACACUGGGACUGAGACACGGCCCAGACUCCUACGGGAGGCAGCAGUGGGGAAUUUUCCGCAAUGGACGAAAGUCUGACGGAGCAACGCCGCGUGGGUGAAGAAGGCCUUCGGGUUGUAAAGCCCUGUCUUAUGGGAAGAAGAAAGUGACGGUACCAUAGGAGGAAGCCACGGCUAACUACGUGCCAGCAGCCGCGGUAAUACGUAGGUGGCGAGCGUUGUCCGGAAUUACUGGGCGUAAAGGGCGCGUAGGCGGUUAAUUAAGUCAGGUGUGAAAACUGUGGGCUCAACCCAGAGACUGCAUCUGAUACUGGAUAACUUGAGUGCAGGAGAGGGCAGUGGAAUUCCUAGUGUAGCGGUGAAAUGCGUAGAUAUUAGGAGGAACACCAGUGGCGAAGGCGGCUGCCUGGACUGUAACUGACGCUGAGGCGCGAAAGCGUGGGGAGCGAACAGGAUUAGAUACCCUGGUAGUCCACGCCGUAAACGAUGGGUACUAGGUGUAGGAGGUAUCGACCCCUUCUGUGCCGGAGUUAACACAAUAAGUACCCGCCUGGGGAGUACGGUCGCAAGAUUAAACUCAAAGGAAUUGACGGGGCCCGCACAAG